rnacentral:rRNA from 1 species
AUGGCUUCCAUGACCCCCAUCCUCUUGCGCUGCUCCCUGCUACUUCUCCUCCUUGUCCAGUCCACACACUCCUCCGUCACCCCGAAGCCCAAGAACGCCAUUGCCGAGGAGCACAAGCAGCCACAUCAUUCCACCUCGCACACCUACAUCGUCCUCACCAACCACCUCGCCAAGCUGUCCAAGUUCGACACCCUCGACCGCUGGUACGCGUCCAUGCUGGGCAAGAACUCCAACCGCAUCCGCUACACCUACGGCACCGUCAUGCAUGGUUUUUCCGUUCGUCUCACGGCCGGCGAGGCCCAGCGCAUGGCCACCGUCCCCGGCGUGUCCCGCGUGUACAAGGAUAGGCUGUACCACAUCCAUACCACGAGGUCGCCGUGGUUCAUGGGCCUCCACGACGACUUCGGCGCGUGGCCGGACGCCGAGUUCGGCGACGGCAUCGUCAUCGGCUUCGUCGAUGGCGGCAUCUGGCCGGAGCGCGCCAGCUUCAGCGACACCGGGCUCAGCCCCGUCAGGUCCACCUGGAGGGGCAAGUGCGUGGACGCCCCGGGAUUCAACGCCAGCUUGUGCAACAACAAGCUCGUCGGCGCCAAGUCCUUCACCGAUUCGAGUCCGAGGGACAUCGAUGGGCACGGAACGCACGUGGCGUCAACGGCUGCAGGCUCCGAGGUCCCCUCGGCCGAUCUCUUCAAGUUCGCGGGCGGGAGAGCGAGCGGCGUGGCGCGCAAGGCAAGGAUCGCCGUGUACAAGGCGUGCAUUCCCAUGAAAGACGACUGCCCUGACUCGGCCCUUACCGCGGCGAUCGACGCCGCGGUGAGCGACGGCGUGGACCUCAUCUCCAUCUCCAUCGGAGACACCGCGAGACCCUUCCACGACGACCUCCUCGCCGUCGCUACGUUCGGCGCUGAGCGCAGAGGCGUCUUCGUCUCCCUGUACAACAUCCCGUCCUCCCAGGGCGCGGGCAUGAUCCCGCUAGUGGACAGCGACUGCGGCGGCAUCGACAGCGAUGUCAUGGGCAAGGUCGUGGUGUGCUCCCAGGGUGCAGGAGCUUCGGCCGGCUUUAACGUGGAGAGAGCUGGCGGAGCCGGGAUAGUUUCCGCCGAUAGUACGGAACGGUUCUUGGACACGGUAAUGGCCGAACCCUUCAACCUUCCCGGUAUCUUGCUCAUCAGCUCCACCGGCGGCAAGAAGCUGGCCGAUUACAUGUCGUCCGUAGCGUACCCGGUGGCGUCCUUCAACUUCACCUGCGACACGGUCACCGGCGAGAACCGGGCGCCGAUGGUGGCGGGCUUCUCCUCGCGGGGCCCCAACCCGAUUGUCCCCCAGAUCCUCAAGCCGGACGUCAUCGCGCCGGGAGUGAACAUCCUCGCCGCCUGGUCAGGUGCCACCCCGCCAUCUGACUCCGACAUGGACCCGCGGAGAGUCGAGUACAACAUCCAAUCGGGGACGUCGAUGGCGUGCCCGCACGUGGCUGGCGUGGCAGCCCUGAUCAAGAAGCGGCACGGCGACUGGACGCCGGCCAUGAUCCGUUCGGCGCUGGUGACGACCGCCGGCCCGCUCGACAAGAACGGCAGAGACAUCGUGGACAGCGGCAGUGCCGUCGGCGCCGCCGUCAUGGGCGCGACGCCGCUGGCGGCCGGGGCCGGGUUCGUGCUCCCGCGGCUCGCCAUGGACCCGGGUCUGGUGUACGACGCCGGAACGCAGGACUACGUCGACUUCCUCUGCACCCUCAACUACACGGUCGAGCAGAUGCAGCAGUUCGUGCCGGAGUUGAACAAGUGCGCGAGGACGAUCCCCGGGGGCGUGGCCAACCUCAACUACCCGUCGUUCGUGGUGAUGUUCGACAGCCGCAUCCGCGUCCGCACGCUGACGCGGACGGUGACCAUGGUGUCUGCGCGCCCAGAGAGCUACAACGUGACGGUCGCCGCGCCCGACGGGGUGAAGGUAACCGUGACGCCGGCGACGUUGGAGUUCAGGUGGCCGAAGGAGAAGAGGAGCUACAGCGUGCAGUUCAGCAGCGAGGCGGGGGCGAAGGCGAGGCCGGCCGGCACGUGGGAGUUCGGCCACAUCGCCUGGGAGAACAGGAAGCACCGGGUCAGGAGCCCCGUCGCCUUCAAAUGGGACAACUGA